rnacentral:rRNA from 1 species
UUCCUUUAUGAAUAUACUAAAGGUAAAGCCUGCUCAGUGAUGGUAAAAUAAUAAACAGCCGCGGUAUCUUAACUGCGCGAAGGUAGCAUAAUUAAUUGUCUUUUAAUUGGUGACUUGUUUGAAUGGCUUAAUGAGGGUUAAAUUUUCUUUAUCUUCUUAUGAAUUUAUUAUCUUGGGUUAAAAAACCUAGAUUUAUAAAAAAGAAGAGAAGACCCUGAUGAGUUUUACAAUUAUAUAAUUGUUUUAAUGGGGCCUUACAAUUUAUUUUAUAUUUUGUGUUAGAUCCUACCUUGAGGAAAAAGGACAAAAUUACCACAGGGAUAACAGGACAAAAUUUGUUGAGAGUACAUAUCUAAGCAAGAAACUGUUACUUCGAUGUUGAAUCAAAGUAAACUUUUAGGCGCAGAAGUUUUUGGAGUGGGUCUGUUCGACCUUUUAAACUUUACG